rnacentral:rRNA from 1 species
AUUGAACGCUGGCGGCAUGCCUUACACAUGCAAGUCGAACGGUAACGGGCCUUCGGGUGCCGACGAGUGGCGAACGGGUGAGUAAUACAUCGGAACGUGCCCGAUCGUGGGGGAUAACGAGGCGAAAGCUUUGCUAAUACCGCAUACGAUCUACGGAUGAAAGCAGGGGACCGCAAGGCCUUGCGCGGACGGAGCGGCCGUUGGCAGAUUAGGUAGUUGGUGGGAUAAAAGCUUACCAAGCCGACGAUCUGUAGCUGGUCUGAGAGGAUGAUCAGCCACACUGGGACUGAGACACGGCCCAGACUCCUACGGGAGGCAGCAGUGGGGAAUUUUGGACAAUGGGCGCAAGCCUGAUCCAGCCAUGCCGCGUGCAGGAUGAAGGCCUUCGGGUUGUAAACUGCUUUUGUACGGAACGAAAAGCCUUCUUUUAAUACAGGAGGGUCAUGACGGUACCGUAAGAAUAAGCACCGGCUAACUACGUG